rnacentral:rRNA from 1 species
UACGUAGGGGGCAAGCGUUGUCCGGAAUCAUUGGGCGUAAAGAGCGUGUAGGCGGCUCGGUAAGUCCGUUCUGAAAGUCCAGGGCUCAACCCUGGGAUGCGGAUGGAUACUGCCGGGCUCGAGUCCGGAAGAGGCGAGUGGAAUUCCCGGUGUAGCGGUGAAAUGCGCAGAUAUCGGGAGGAACACCUGUGGCGAAAGCGGCUCACUGGACCAUAACUGACGCUGAUGCACGAAAGCUAGGGGAGCAAACAGG